rnacentral:tRNA from 1 species
UCCAUCAUAGCUCAGUCAGUAAAGAAUCUGCCUGUAAUGCAGGAGACCCAGGUUCAAUCCCUGGGUGGGAA